rnacentral:rRNA from 1 species
UAGGGAAUCUUCCGCAAUGGACGAAAGUCUGACGGAGCAACGCCGCGUGAGCGAAGAAGGCCUUCGGGUCGUAAAGCUCUGUUGUUAGGGAAGAACAAGUACGAGAGUAACUGCUCGUACCUUGACGGUACCUAACCAGAAAGCCACGGCUAACUACGUGCCAGCAGCCGCGGUAAUACGUAGGUGGCAAGCGUUGUCCGGAAUUAUUGGGCGUAAAGCGCGCGCAGGCGGUCCUUUAAGUCUGAUGUGAAAGCCCACGGCUCAACCGUGGAGGGUCAUUGGAAACUGGGGGACUUGAGUGCAGAAGAGGAGAGUGGAAUUCCACGUGUAGCGGUGAAAUGCGUAGAGAUGUGGAGGAACACCAGUGGCGAAGGCGACUCUCUGGUCUGUAACUGACGCUGAGGCGCGAAAGCGUGGGGAGCAAACAGG